rnacentral:rRNA from 1 species
UACGAACUGUGCGAACGUUAUUCGGAAUCACUGGGCUUACAGGGUGCGUAGGCGGCUUAGCAAGUCAGGUGUGAAAGCCCCCGGCUCAACCGGGGAACUGCGCUUGAAACUGCUGAGCUCGAGUCAGCUAGAGGUACACGGAACUUCCAGUGGAGCGGUGAAAUGUGUUGAUAUUGGAAGGAACACCGGAGGCGAAAGCGGUGUACUGGGGCUGGUCUGACGCUGAGGCACGAAAGCGUGGGGAGCGAACAGG